rnacentral:rRNA from 1 species
UACGGGGGGGGCAAGCGUUGUUCGGAAUUACUGGGCGUAAAGGGCUCGUAGGCGGCCACCUAAGUCAUACGUGAAAUCCCUCAGCUUAACUGGGGAACUGCGUGUGAUACUGGAUGGCUUGGAUUUGGGAGAGGGAUGCGGAAUUCCAGGUGUAGCGGUGAAAUGCGUAGAUAUCUGGAGGAACACCGGUGGCGAAGGCGGCAUCCUGGACCAAUAUUGACGCUGAGGAGCGAAAGCCAGGGGAGCAAACGGG